rnacentral:lncRNA from 1 species
AUGCAAGAAAAAUGACUAAACUAUUCAUAGUCUUUGUCCUAACAAGCUUGGUACUGAAUGUAUACCACCAAGGACACCAAAGACUGAAAUGAAAGUUAAUAUGUAUGAAAAUAAUCAUUUAGCACUCUUAGUGGUAGCAAAGAAUUGAAAAUUAAAAGUGAUUGGAGAGUUACUAAAAAACUGAUAGUAUAUAAAUGUCUCAGAACAUUAUUAUGCAAUAAGAGAUGUUGGAUAGGAGAAACUGAGAGAAAUGGAGGAAGAUUUAUAUGAACUGAAUCAGAAAAAUUAAAUAGAACCAAGAGAACACUAUACCCAAUAACUGUAUUACUUCAAAUGAAAAGAUCACUGAAAGGGAGUUGAAUUCUGAAUACUGAGAAUGAAGAUUUGGAAAAGAGAUAAAGAAACAUAUAUCCUUCCUCACUGCAAAGUGACAAAGACUUGGAAACUGAGGAGAUGUUCAUCAGUUGGGGAAUGGCUAAAGUUGUGGUACAAGGUUAUAAUGGAAUACGGUAAUGUCAUAAGGCAUGAUGAAAGGGUGAUUUUACAAAAACCUGGCAAGACUUAAAUUUAAAAAAAAAAGAUGCAAAAUGAAGUAGCAGAACCAGUAGAACAUUAUACAAUGGUCACCUUUGAGGUACUAAACUAUUAUCAGCAGUUCAAAGAUCCAAGAUAACUCCAAGGGACACAUGAUGAAAAAUACUAUCCACUGCCCAUUGAAGGAACUAUCACAGUCUGAACAUAGAUUGAAGCAUACCAUCUUCACUUUAUUUCCCUCAUGAAUUUUUUCAUGUAUGUGUGACAUGUGCCUUCUUUAAUGGCAUGAAGAUAUUGUAUUACUUUUAUGACCUUGGGCAAGUAAUUUGACUUCUUCCCUUUUCCGUUUCCUCAUAUGUGAAAUGGACAAAUAUCUUUAGGGGAGAUUAAAGUUUAGACUUUUAACCCCCUGGUCCUGGUUUCCAAUCUUCUCUACCUGGUUGCUGU